GUUACAAGGGCCUAUUUUAGCAAAUAGUAAAUUUGACUUAACCCCCCACUUAAAUAGUAAACUAAUUAAGAACAUUUGCGAUAUCAUCUAACAGAAACCCCCCACUUGGAGCAAGCAACAACAAUUGAUAUUUUUACGUAGGGAAAAGAAGGGCACACUAAUUACCAAUAAUUAACACAUGCAUGCAGCUAGCUAGGUACGUGAGAAUUAAUAAUAAUAAAACUUAAUCAAUCACCUGAUCAUGUGGCCCAGAUUCCUCCCUCUGUGGUUCUGAAGAUCGUGAUGAUGAUGAUGAUGAUGAUGAACAAGAAGAAUAUCAGAUUGAAAUGUAGCCCGUCCUCUCUGCAGUUUGCAUUUGCUUUCCUGAAAACAGCUUCCUGCCUUGAUAUAUAUAUAUUAUUGGUAUUGGAUUUUCUGGCUUGGCUCUCUUUGGGUGCCUCGAUGGUUUCGUUUAACUGCUAAGCAGCUUGUCUUUAGGGUUCUUGUUUGCAUUUUGGUGCUGUUGUCUCCUGGCUUGUGUUUUUAUUUGGCUAAUUUUUUGAGUUAUUUUGAUGGUGAUGUUGGUCAGCUUGUUCCUUUGUUGUGUGGCCGUUUUUUCGGUUGGCUUUUGUUCCUUUCAGUUUGGA
rnacentral:lncRNA from 1 species